UACGAGGGGGGCGAGCGUUGUUCGGAAUUAUUGGGCGUAAAGCGUGCGUAGGUGGUUUGUUAAGUCUGUUGUGAAAGCCCCGGGCUCAACCUGGGAAUGGCAAUGGAUACUGGCAAGCUAGAGUGCGGUAGAGGGUAGUGGAAUUCCCGGUGUAGCGGUGAAAUGCGUAGAGAUCGGGAGGAACACCAGUGGCGAAGGCGGUUGCCUGGGGCUUUGCUGACGCUGAGGCGCGAAAGCGUGGGGAGCGAUCCGG
rnacentral:rRNA from 1 species